UACGAAGGGGGCUAGCGUUGUUCGGAAUUAUUGGGCGUAAAGCGCGUGUAGGCGGCGUGGCAAGUCGGGUGUGAAAGCCCUCAGCUCAACUGAGGAAGUGCGCCCGAAACUGCUGUGCUUGAGUGCCGGAGAGGGUGGCGGAAUUCCCCAAGUAGAGGUGAAAUUCGUAGAUAUGGGGAGGAACACCGGUGGCGAAGGCGGCCACCUGGACGGUAACUGACGCUGAGACGCGAAAGCGUGGGGAGCAAACAGG
rnacentral:rRNA from 1 species